rnacentral:rRNA from 1 species
CACGGGGGGGAGCAAGCGUUGUUCGGAAUCACUGGGCGUAAAGCGCACGUAGGCGGAUUUGUCAGUCAGGGGUGAAAUCCCGAGGCUCAACCUCGGAACUGCCUUUGAUACUGGCAAUCUCGAGUCCGGAAGAGGUGAGUGGAAUUCCUAGUGUAGAGGUGAAGUUCGUAGAUAUUAGGAAGAACACCAGUGGCGAAGGCGGCUCACUGGUCCGGUACUGACGCUGAGGUGCGAAAGCGUGGGGAGCAAACAGGG